AACGCUGGCGGCGCGCAUAAAGCAUGCAAGUCGUACGGGCUGAGGCCGCAAGGCCAAGGCCAGUGGCGAACGGCUGAGUAACACGUGGGUGACCUGCCCCGAAGUGGGGGACAACCCCUCGAAAGAGGGGCUAAUACCGCAUGUGGUCGCCGGGCACACCGGCGAUCAAAGCCGCAAGGCGCUUCGGGAGGGGCCCGCGGCCGAUCAGGUAGUUGGUGAGGUAAUGGCCCACCAAGCCGAUGAUCGGUAGCUGGUCUGAGAGGAUGGCCAGCCAGACUGGGACUGAGACACGGCCCAGACUCCUACGGGAGGCAGCAGCUAGGAAUCUUGCGCAAUGGGCGAAAGCCUGACGCAGCCACGCCGCGUGAGGGAUGAAGGCCUUCGGGUCGUAAACCUCUUUUCUCGGGGAAGAAACCUGACGGUACCCGAGGAAUAAGCACCGGCUAACUACGUGCCAGCAGCCGCGGUAAUACGUAGGGUGCGAGCGUUGUCCGGAUUUACUGGGCGUAAAGCGCGCGCAGGCGGCCUCGUAAGUCGAAGGUGAAAGCUCCGGGCUCAACCCGGAGAGGCCCUUCGAAACUGCGGGGCUUGAAGGCAGGAGAGGGGAGUGGAAUUCCGGGUGUAGCGGUAAAAUGCGUAGAUACCCGGAGGAACACCAGUGGCGAAGGCGGCUCCCUGGCCUGCCCUUGACGCUCAGGCGCGAAAGCUAGGGGAGCGACCGGGAUUAGAUACCCCGUUAGUCCUAGCCGUAAACGAUGGGCACUAGGUGUUGGCGGUAUCGACCCCGCCAGUGCCGAAGCUAACGCAUUAAGUGCCCCGCCUGGGGAGUACGGCCGCAAGGCUAAAACUCAAAGGAAUUGACGGGGGCCCGCACAAGCGGCGGAGCGUGUGGUUCAAUUCGAUGCGACGCGAAGAACCUCACCAGGGUUUGACAUGCAGGUGGUAGCGACCCGAAAGGGAAGCGACCCGCAAGGGAGCCUGCACAGGUGUUGCACGGCUGUCGUCAGCUCGUGUCGUGAGAUGUUGGGUUAAGUCCCGCAACGAGCGCAACCCUCGGGGCCUGUUGUAUCACUCAGUCCCGACUGCCGAGAGAAACUCGGAGGAAGGUGGGGAUGACGUCAAGUCAGCGUGGCCCUCAUGCCCUGGGCUACACACACGCUACAAUCGCCGGUCACAGCGGGUUGCGACACCGCAAGGUGAAGCUAAUCCCUGAAAACCGGCGUCAGUACAGAUCGGAGGCUGCAACCCGCCUCCGUGAAGACGGAGUCGCUAGUAACCGCCGGUCAGCACACGGCGGUGAAUAUGUUCCCGGGCCUUGUACACACCGCC
rnacentral:rRNA from 1 species